GCAAAACGCGAAGAACCUUACCCACCUUUGACAUGUACGGAAUCCUUUAGAGAUAGAGGAGUGCUCGAAAGAGAGCCGUAACACAGGUGCUGCAUGGCUGUCGUCAGCUCGUGUCGUGAGAUGUUGGGUUAAGUCCCGCAACGAGCGCAACCCUUGCCAUUAGUUGCUACAUUUAGUUGAGCACUCUAAUGGGACUGCCGGCGACAAACCGGAGGAAGGUGGGGAUGACGUCAAGUCCUCAUGGCCCUUAUAGGUGGGGCUACACACGUCAUACAAUGGCUGGUACAAAGGGUUGCCAACCCGCGAGGGGGGAGCUAAUCCCAUAAAGCCAGUCGUAGUCCGGAUCGCAGUCUGCAACUCGACUGCGUGAAGUCGGAAUCGCUAGUAAUCGUGGAUCAGAAUGUCACGGUGAAUACGUUCCCGGGUCUUGUACACACCG
rnacentral:rRNA from 1 species